rnacentral:rRNA from 1 species
UACGAAGGGGGCUAGCGUUGCUCGGAAUUACUGGGCGUAAAGCGCACGUAGGCGGCUUAUUAAGUCGGGGGUGAAAUCCUGGAGCUCAACUCCAGAACUGCCUUCGAUACUGAUGAGCUUGAGUUCGGGAGAGGUGAGUGGAACUGCGAGUGUAGAGGUGAAAUUCGUAGAUAUUCGCAAGAACACCAGUGGCGAAGGCGGCUCACUGGCCCGAUACUGACGCUGAGGUGCGAAAGCAUGGGGAGCAAACAGG